GCGAAACCCAAGGUGCAUGCCGAGGGGCGGUUGGCCUCGUAAAAAGCCGCAAAAAAUAGUCGCAAACGACGAAAACUACGCUUUAGCAGCUUAAUAACCUGCUUAGAGCCCUCUCUCCCUAGCCUCCGCUCUUAGGACGGGGAUCAAGAGAGGUCAAACCCAAAAGAGAUCGCGUGGAAGCCCUGCCUGGGGUUGAAGCGUUAAAACUUAAUCAGGCUAGUUUGUUAGUGGCGUGUCCGUCCGCAGCUGGCAAGCGAAUGUAAAGACUGACUAAGCAUGUAGUACCGAGGAUGUAGGAAUUUCGGACGCGGGUUCAACUCCCGCCAGCUCCACCA
rnacentral:tmRNA from 1 species